CCCUUAGAUGUCCUGGGCCGCACGCGCGCUACACUGAUGCAUGCAACGAGUUUAUAACCUUGGCCUGAAGGGUCUGGGUAAUCUUUUGAACGAGCAUCGUGAUAGGGAUAGAUUAUUGCAAUUGUUAAUCUUGAACGAGGAAUUCCUAGUAAACGCGAGUCAUCAGCUCGCAUUGAUUACGUCCCUGCCCUUUGUACACACCGCCCGUCGCACCUACCGAUUGAAUGGUUCGGUGAAGAUCUCGGACUUCGAUAUUUAUUCUUUAUUGAGUUUAUAUUGUGGGAAGUUAUCUAAACCUCAUCAUUUAGAGGAAGGUGAAGUCGUAACA
rnacentral:rRNA from 1 species